UACGGAGGAUCCAAGCGUUAUCCGGAAUCAUUGGGUUUAAAGGGUCCGUAGGCGGUCUGAUAAGUCAGAGGUGAAAUCCUGCAGCUCAACUGUAGCAUUGCCUUUGAUACUGUUAGACUUGAGUUAUUGUGAAGUAGUUAGAAUGUGUGGUGUAGCGGUGAAAUGCAUAGAUAUCACACAGAAUACCGAUUGCGAAGGCAGAUUACUAACAAUAUACUGACGCUGAGGGACGAAAGCGUGGGUAGCGAACAGG
rnacentral:rRNA from 1 species